rnacentral:rRNA from 1 species
GAGUUUGAUCCUGGCUCAGGAUGAACGCUGGCGGCGUGCCUAAUACAUGCAAGUCGAGCGAACAGACGGGGAGCUUGCUCCCCUGACGUUAGCGGCGGACGGGUGAGUAACACGUGGGUAACCUACCUAUAAGACUGGAAUAACUCCGGGAAACCGGGGCUAAUGCCGGAUAACAUGUUGGACCGCAUGGUCCUACAGUGAAAGACGGUCUUGCUGUCACUUAUAGGUGGACCCGCGCCGUAUUAGCUAGUUGGUAAGGUAACGGCUUACCAAGGCAACGAUACGUAGCCGACCUGAGAGGGUGAUCGGCCACACUGGAACUGAGACACGGUCCAGACUCCUACGGGAGGCAGCAGUAGGGAAUCUUCCGCAAUGGGCGAAAGCCUGACGGAGCAACGCCGCGUGAGUGAUGAAGGCCUUCGGUCGUAAACU